UGUUGGUGGUCUUUGUGUAUGCUUGCGUGAUUAUUUUGUGUUUGUAUGUAGGUAUUGUUGAUACACCAUGGUCCAACUAUCAAGAUCACCAUUUGCUGGUUUCUCUAUAAUUCUUAUUGUUGUUCUUUGCUUUUGCAUUGUUGGUUUUCAUGUUGGUGGUCUUUGUGUAUGCUUGCGUGAUUAGUUUGUGUUUCGUAUGUAGGUAUUGUCGAUACACCAUGGUCCAACUAUCAACAUCACCAUUUGCUGGUUUCUCUAUAGUUCUUAUUGUUGUCCUUUGCUUUUGCAUUGUUGGUUUUCAUGUUGGUGGUCUUUGUGUAUGCUUGCGUGAUUAGUUUGUGUUUCGUAUGUAGGUAUUGUUGAUACACCAUGGUCCAACUAUCAACAUCACCAUUUGCUGGUUUCUCUUUAAUUCUUAUUGUUGUCCUUUGCUUUUGCAUUAUUGGUUUUCAUGUUGGUGGAUCUUCAACUUUUCUUUCUUGCCGCUAUUUUUUCCUUCCAUUGAUUUCUCAACUUUCUUUGUGUAUGUUUGUGUGAUUGGUUUGUGUUUCGUAUGUAGGUAUUGUUGAUACACCAUGAUCCAACUAUCAAGAUCACCAUUUGCUGGUUUCUCUAUAAUUCUUAUUGUUGUCCUUUGCUUUUGCAUUAAUGUUUUUUAGUAGUCACGGGUUCAUUUAUGUUGCCUCUGCUGAAUGAUGUACAUUCUGUAGGUCCCUUGUGUUGGACAUCGGUACCUGCUGUUAUGGAGUACCUGUGUUUUCUAUUCGAGAUUUCUUUUCUUUCAUAUUAUUAUUUUUUCUCUUUAACAUAUAUGCAACGAUAAUUUUUCAUUCCACAGGUUUUGACUGAGCUGAGGAUGAUUGCUAGUGAAUCAUUGGCACUUGUAUCUUUGACCGUAACACUAUCUUGUUUAUUGUCUCAACUACAAUUGUGUGUGAACUUGCAUGAUGUGAUUGUAUUUUGUUUGUAGGCUUGUUUGGUGUCGAGAUCGGUCUGAUCAUUAAGAUCACCAUGUGCAAGGUUUCUUGCAUGGUUCUUAUGAUCGGUUUUAUUUUGUUUAACGUCAUUCGUUUUUUUUGCCUGUCAAGCUAUUUGAUACGACAGAUCAAUAUGGUUAUCGGUUGAAGAUGUGAGAUUUAGAGUAAUUACUGUACAAGCAGUUGAUGACAACGGAUUUCAGGUUCAUCUUAUAUCUUCAUCUUCGAUGAUAACUAUAUUAGAUUAUGACAAAUCUAUCAGGUUAUUGGUUCGUUAGUGCUUGGAGUUGUAAGGAUUCCAGGUUCUUCUUGUAUCUUCUACCUUUGUUUAUAAUACGAUUUCGAUAAGCUAUUUAUUAGAGCAGAUGAAGUGGGUUAUUGGCCCGUAGGUGGGAGAAACUAUGACGAGGUUAUGUUCCAUUCUCGAUAAGUUCAGGUUCUUCAGUAACUUCUUUUUGGUAAUAGCUUAGUAACUGUCAGGGUUACGUUCCUGUUGGUGCGAGAACUUGUGGCCGGGUAUCUCAUUGCAGGUACUCAUUAUGAGGUGAUUUGGUGAUGAAUUUCAGUUGUAAAUCCUGGAAUCUUCUACCUUUGUUUAUAAUACGAUUUCGAUAAGCUAUUUAUUAGAGCAGAUGAAGUGGGUUAUUGGCCUGUAGGUGGGAGAAACUAUGACGAGGUUAUGUUCCGUUCUCGAUAAGUUCAGGUUCUUCAGUAACUUCUUAUUGGUAAUAGCUUAGUAACUGUCAGGGUUACGUUCCUGUUGGUGCGAGAACUUGUGGCCGGGUAUCUCAUUGCAGGUACUCAUUAUGAGGUGAUUUGGUGAUGAAUUUCAGUUGUAAAGCUAUCUGUUACGGCAGAACGACAGGUUCCCGGUUAUGCUUUUGAUAUGUUAGCAUCAAGAUUGUUUUUACAAGAUGACCAAGGGCAUGUAUUUUUGGCUGCUUGCAGUGGGAUCCGGUUAUACUGGUCAUUGUGGGUUUUCUUCAUUGGAGUAAUACUUGAAUGUUGGUUGCCUUUUCUCUUAUUCAAUUUGUUUGGCAUUACAAUGAGGUGCAGUUGGUAAUUUUGUGUGUGUUAUAGUGGGCAUCGCGAUUAGUUCUGUGUCCUACUACAGGUGCCGUGACAGUCGAGGCGUUUUCUUGAUUCAUAGCUCCUGUAAAAAAACUUUAGCCGAGGGAUGAAGAAGAGAUCUUUAAAUGAAACUAGGCCUAUUGGUAGUUGAGAGACAGCUGGCUGUUGGUUCAUCAUUUCUUAGCAAUUAGAUCGUUAUAUCUGAUCUUGUCUGCUCUUGCUACCUUGGUUACUUUUAACUUUUGCCUGCCUUGUGAGGCUUAUGGAUUUAGUAGUAUUGCUUAUGUGUUGAUAGCUGCGGCAUUUUGUGGGUUUCGUUGUGCUUGCAUGAUCAUUUAUGAGGUUAGUCAUUGUUUUUAUUGUAGAACUAAAUUUGGGGAGAGGUGUGUUGAUCAUUGUCCUUGAUACUGUGUAGGGUUCUCAUUCAUUUGGUGACGAUCUUAUCUACAGCUGUUUGUCGCUUUCGUUUUACCUCUUAAGGUUGUGACCAAAUAGAGAGGUUGCAUGUUGAUUCAGGACACUGGUGGUUGGAUCCGUGCCCUUGUUCUUUCGGUGAAAAACGAUGCCUCAAAUGGUUUUACUUUGGGUAAAUGGUCUCAAAUUCUUCAAAUUUGAAGUUAAUGGUUUUGUCAAAAAGGUGUUUCUUAUACUGCAUCAGAUGAUGACAGUUUCAAAGCUGUUAUUUGGGUUGUGGUAGAAUUGAUGUCUAUUUCUAUGGCCGGUUACGUAUUUUUCACAAAUAAGUUCCAUAUUCAGUUCGGAUAUUAGAGGCCAGAUCUCUAUCCCAACGGUUUUCAGGAUCUUCUUUGUAACUUGGACACGGGUCUCUUUUGUAUCUUAUUGUGUGUUGAUCUGUUACCGCAUGAGCAAUGAGUUUGAGUUGAAAGCUGUUUGUUAUAUCACCUACUGAGAUUCCGGUUUAAAAGUUGCUUUUGUGAGGCCAAUAUUUAUGUCCACACCUGUUUGUCUUCAGGUUCUGUUAUCUCGGAUAAACUGUUCUCAGGUUGUUUUUCUAGUAUCUUGUGUAUGGUAAUAGUGAAACUUGAAAGCUCUUCAUUACGACAUAACUUAGUUUUUUCGGUCGUGGAUUAUUGAGGUCAUGCUAAAUGGUUCCAGGCUCUUCUUGUGGCAUCUUCUAUUAGGUAAUUAGGUGAUAAGGAUCAAUAGGGUUAUGUGCUCAUAGAUGCGAGAAAUUAUGAUCAGAUAUCAUCAUUCAAGUGGUUCAUGUCUGCAGAUUUCAGGUUCUACUGGUAUUUUCUAUCGUCAGGGAUUUUGUUUUAUUUGUGAACUUAUUUGUUAUGGCAGAUCCAUCAGGAUACCGGUUUAUAGUUGUGUGAAAUUAUGAGUAGCUUGCUCCUGAAGGAGAUCUUUGUAACAGAUUCAGGUUCUUCUUGUAUUUUUUUUCUUUGUUUUAUUUGAAAGCUAUUCGUUAUUGCAUAUUAAUCUGGUUAUUGGUCCGUGGUGGGAGUAUCUGUGACUAGAUAUUAUUUUUCAAGGAGUUCCUGAUGAAUGAUCCCACAUUCAUCUGGUUCUUUACCCAAUAAUAAUUUGUUUUGAUUGCAAAGCUAUUCGUUUUGGGAGAACAGUCGCGUCACUGGUGUUGGAGCUGCAAGAAGUUAGGACGGGUGAUGUCAAUCAAGGAUUUCGUGAUGAUGCAUCGUUAUUUGCAAAAUGGCAGAGUUGGUGGUUAUUUUAUUUCAUACAUUGUCUAAAAAAACUGUUGGGCUUGAAGAACUCACAACCAGGUUCUUGUAUCUACAGCUUUUUGCAGUACAGUCAGGUGGUUCUGGUCCCUGUGGUAUCUUCAUAGGUUGGAAGUGUUACUUGGUAGUUGGUUGCUCUUUUUCAUUACCUUUUGUACAUUGUUUUUUGUAUCACAUUUAAGGAUGAUUAGAUCAUUUCUCGUGUGUUUCUAGGGUUUUGUUGGUUGUUGAGGGACAGUUGGCCAUCAGUUCAUCAUUUCAUAGCAAUUGGAUGGUUAUAUCUGAUGUGAUUUUUUCUGACUUUAGGUCAUUUUCUCCUUAUCUCCAUUAUGGUUCUUGCCUGAUUAUUUAUCAAGUUGCUUGUUUGUUUGUAGGUCUAAGUUUGUGAUGAAUGGCUACUGGGUUCAUCAUCACGAUUCCUAUUGCCAAUUUCUGUGGGUUGUGGUUAUAUUAAUUUUGAUUUUUUCAACUUAGAUGCUGGUGGGAAGGGUUAUGCUUGUUUUCUUUGUUGAUAGGUACUAGGAAGCUUCUGACUGAUGAUGAUGGUCUUUUGUAUGCUGUGUAGCAUUCUCCUGAUCCCACAUCCAUCUGUUGCCAUUCACCUCUCUAAGUUGUGGCCAAGUAGAGAGGUUGCAUAUUGAUUUAAGAAGGGAUGUGUUAUUGGAUCUGUAUUGUUAUAGCUUUCUUUGCCCCUGUUUUGACCAUUCUUUGAUAUCUAAAAUUUUCUCGUGCGUAAGCUUUCAUGAUUAGUUUGCGUCUUGUAUGUAGGUUUUGUUGAUACCAAACGUGGUUCAAAUAUCAAGAUCAUCGUUCUGGUUUUUCUAUAUUUUUUUAUGAUUCUUUUGUUUUAGCAUUAUGGAUUUUCCUUGUUGCCUUGGGCUCAUCUGUGUUUCCCUUGCUGUAUGAUGCACAUUCUGUAGGUCUUCUUUGGUGGACAUGGUCAUGGUUCGCCGUAGAGUGCAUGUGUCAGCUGUUGAAGAUGUUUUGGUCUAUCUGUUUCUAUGAAUACUACUAUCCUAUCAUUUUCUCUCAUUUCGUCCUUGGGUGUUUUUGUUACUUCUAUAUCAUUUUUCUUCUAGGGUAAAUGAGAAGGGUAGUUGUUUUUCUGCAGGUUCUGAACUAAGUGAAGAAGAUAGCUAGCAAAUCAUUGGCACUUGUAUUUUCUUCUUUGGCACUAUUCUUUUUAAUCUCUCAUUUCUGAAUUGCCAUUGUAUGUAAGCUUGCAUGAUGAGAUUGUGCUUUGUCUGUAGGUUCGUUUGGUGCCAAACACCGUGGUUCAAUUGUUGCAGUCAUGAUGUGUGCUGGUUUUAUAUAAUCCUUGUGAUGGCAUUUUGAUUUCUACAUCUUCCUUCAUCUUAAAGACCUCUUUUGCUUAUUUGCUAAUAGGCCUACAAGAGCACAUUCAGGUCAACUGGACCAUUGUCCUUCCUGGUUUGGCUGGUUUGUUGCUGUCUGUGGUUGUGGUUCUGUGAAUCCUGUGGACGUUUAUGAAAAAUGGAAGUAGAAGCAUCAUUUCAGACUUCUAGUUUUAUGUGAUACUCUGGGAUGAAAGACAGGAAGAUGAACUAUAUAUGAUCUUUUAAUUAUUUUUAUCUUGGCAAAAUUUGAAGCAUUUAGCUUUAUCAGAUUCAGUACUCAUUGAUUUACUCUGCUCUAUGGUCUUCUUUUUGUUCUCCAUGUUGCAUGUAGAAGGCCGUCUUCCUCGAUGGCAUGCCAGUUACUAUAGCUCGCUAUGGAGUCCUUUCUGGCUUGGCAACGGAUGUCUGGUCCAUCUCUUUAUGUGAAAUUUACCUUCCUUUCAUUUAUAUCUGCUUUUUUUUUCCUUCCCUUUUUCUGUGUCAGAGAUGAAGGAUACACUACUCUCACCACAGGUUCAGAUUAGAGAAUGAAUGGAUCGUUGUUCUUGCUGGUGGAUCUUCAGUACCUAUGUUUUCUUCCUUGCCACCAUUUUUUCUGUCCUUUGAUUUCUCAAAUUUCUGUAUGUGGGUCAUUAGUUCGUGUUUUGUAUGUAGGUCUUGUUGAUACCAAUCACCAUAUGGUCCAACGAUCAAGAUCACCAUGUGCUGGUUUUUCUAUAAUUCUUAUUAUGGUUCUCUGCUUUUGCAUUAUUGGUUUUUCUUGUAGUUGCCUUGGAUUGAUUUAUGUUCCCCUUGCUGAAUGAUGCACAUUGUCUAGGUCUUCUUCGGUUGGGUAUUGGUACAUGCUAUUAUGGUUCGCUUUGGGGGUACUUGUGUUAGCUAUUGGAGAUCACUUCAUCAAUCUGUGUCUGAAUUCUACUUUCCUAUAAUUUCUUUUGAUUCCCUGUCCUGUUGUUUUUGGCGGUUUUUGUUAUUCUUACAUCAAUUUCUUAUUUUUUUUUCAUAUAUUAAUAUUAAAUGUGCAAGGAUGAUUCUUUUUUCCACAGGUUGUGUCCUAGCUGAAGAUCACCAGUGAAUCAUUGACAGUUGUAUUCUUGACCUCAACACUGGUCUGAUUAUUCUUCUCUUUCUGAUUGCCAUUGUGUGAGAAUUUGCGUGAUGUGAUUGUAUUUUUCUUUCUAUCCUUGAAUCAUUUUUUUCUGGGCUUUGUUUAUGGUCCUUGCCUGAUUAUUCAUCAAGUUACUUGUUUGUUUGUAGGUCUAAAUUCGUGCUAAAUGGCUAUGAUCAUCACAAUUUCUAUCUGAAUGGCUAUGAUCAUCACAAUUUCUAUCUGUAGGCUUGCCGAUAUUUGUUGUAUUGAUUUGGAUUCUCUCAACUUAGAUGCUGGUGGGGUCGAGGGUUAUGCUUGUUUUCUGUUGAUAGGUGCUAGAAAGCUUCUGAUCAGUGAUGAUUGUCCCUUGUAUGCUGUCUAGCACUCUCCUAAUUCAGUUGGUGAUGCUAUCCUAACCACAACCUUCUGUUGCUCCCAUUUCACCCCUUGAAGUCAUGUGGCCAAGUAGAGAGAUUGCAUAUUGAUUCAGGAAACGAUGAGUUACUGGGCCCGUAUUGUUUUUGUUUUCUUUCUUGCCCCUGUUUUGUCCCAUUAUUUGAAAGUAAUUAAUAAUUACCCUUUAAAAAGCACCUUAUGAUUUCUUAAUAUAUUACCAUAUAAAAUAUAUGUAGGUUUUGUUGAUACCAAACAUGAUAUUUAUAUAUGAAGGUCAUCAUUCUGGUUUUUCUAUGUUUCUUAUGAUCAUCUUCUGUCUUAGAAUUGUUGGUUUUUUCUUGUGGUUCGCAGGGGGCCGUCUAUGUUCCCCUUGCUGUAUGAUGCAUAUUCUGUUGGGCACGGGCACGGGCACCUACCAAUAUGGUUUGCCGUGGUGUUAGCUAUUGAAGAUGCUGUGGUCUAUAUGUUCCUGUGAAUUCUACUAUCCUCUCAUUUUAUUUCAUUUCGUCCUUCAUUGUUUUUUUGUUACUCCCGUAUAUGUCUUCUUCUUGGUGAGGUAAUCGUUUUUCUGCAGGUUCCGAGUGAACUGAAGAAGGCCGCUAGUGGAUCAUUGGCACUUGUGUUGUCUUCCCUGUUUUUUUCAUUCUCUCAUUUCUGAAUUGCUAUCGUGUAUAAAAGCUUGCAUGAUGAGAUUGUGCUUUUUGUUGGUUUGUUUGGAAUCAAACACAGUGGUCCAAGAUUGAAGUCACCAUGUGUGCUGUUCUAAUAUAAUUCUUAUGAUCGCCUUUUGCUUUAGCAUCAUCUUCUUUACAUUUUUCCAUCAUCCUGAGACCUCCUUUUGUUAAUUUGCUAAUAGGUCUGUCUACCAAAUUGCACACGUCAAUUUCACCAUGGUCGUUUCUGGUUUGUUGCUCUCUAUGGUUGUGGUUCUGUAAAUGCUGUCAACGUAGAUGAAAAAUAGAAGCAGCAUCAUUUCAGUUUCAUGUGAUACCAUGGGGUAGAAGAUAAAAGAUGUUCUAUAACUGAUAAUCUUCUCUUUGUUUUUAUCUUAGGGAAGCAUUUAGCUUUAUUAGAUUCAUUACUCAUCAAUUUACCCUGCUCUAAUUUUUUUUUUCUUCCAUUUCCUAUGUUGCAUAUAGUAGGUCGUCUUCCUCGAUGGCACAUGCGUAACCGAGUAUUAUAGCUAGCUAUGUAGCCGUUGUGGCUUGGUAGUGGAUGUCUUGGUCCAUCUCUUUAUGUGAAAUCUACCUUCCUUGUAUGUAGGUUUUGUUGAUAACCGAACAUCGUGUUCAGAUAUCAAGAUCACCAUUCUGGUUUUCCUAUAUUUCUUAUGAUCAUCUUCUUAUAGUCGUCUUCUGUUUUAGCGUCGUUGGUUUUUCCUUGUAGUCGCCUCAUCUACCCCCUUGCUGUAUGAUGCACAUGCUGUAGGUCUUCUUCGGUGGGCAUGGGCACUCGCUUACAUGGUAUGCAUGGAGUACACGUGUUGGCUAUUGAAGAUAUAUUGGCCCAUCUGUUUCUGUGGAUUCUACUAGGCUCUUAUUUUCUCAUAUUUCGUCCUUGGUUGUUUUUGUUAUUUUUACUUUGUUUAUUUUUUUAUUUCUUGGGAAAUGGAAUGUACAAGGGUAAUUGUUAUUCCACAGGUUCUGAGCUGAACUGAAGAAGACGGCUAGUCAAUCAUUGUCACUUGUAUUUUCCUCCCUGACUAUUCUUUUUGUUCUCUCAUUUCUCAGUUGCAAGUGUGUGUAAGCUUGCAUGAUGAGAUUGUGGUUUGACUGUAGGUUUGGUUGGUGCCAAACAGAGAGGUCCACUGAGGUCACCAUGUGCUGGUUUUGUAUAGUUCUUGUGAUCGCCUUUUGAUCAAGUAUUAUCUCUUUUCCAUCUUUUCGUUAUCUUGAGAUCUUUUUGCCUAUUUGCUAAUAGGUCUAUUGAAGUGUUCGCGUCGAUGAAUCAUUGUCUUUCCUGUUUUGUUGCUAUCUGUGGUUCGGUGGAUCCUGUGGACGUUUUGUGAAAUUAGAAGUAGAUUUCUGUUUUGUGUUACCCUGGGGUAUAAGAUGAAAGAUGUUAUGUUAACCGAUAUUCUUUUAUUUAUUUUAAUCAUAGCAAAAUUUGAAGCAUCCCAACUAACUUUUCUUCCAUUUUGGGGGUGAUCUGCACGUAAUGUAGACAUAUGUGCUGUAUUUAUUAUGGUUUUGCCUUCAUUUUCGUUGAUGGCAUUAGAUUAAUUGCUCAUUAAUUUAGCCUGCUUUUAUAGUUUCUUUUUUGUUCCCCAUGUCGCAUAUAGCGGGUCGUCUUCCUCAAUGGCACAUGCAUACCAACUCUCUUUGGGCCGUCGUGUCUUGGCAGCGGAUGUCUUGGUCCAUCCCCUUAUGUGAAAUCUAUCUUUAUCUCGUUAUAUCUGCCUUCCUUCUUCCUUCCUUUUUCUCUGUGGCAUGUGACACAAGGAUACACUUCUUUCGCCACAGGUUCAGACAACUGAGGAUGAUUGGAUCGUUGUGUUUCGACGGAAUCAUGAGCACCUAUGUUCUCUUCUUUGCCUCUAUUUUUGUCCGUUCUUUGAGUUCUCAAUUUUCUUUGUGUAAAUUUUUGCGUGUUAGGUUUGUGUAAAGUUGUAUUUUGUAUGUAGGUCUUGUUGAUACUAAACAUCAUAAUUUUCUUUGUGUAAAUUUUUGCAUGUUGGGUUUGUGUAAAGUUGUAUUUUGUAUGUAGGUCUUGUUGAUACUAAACAUCAUGGUCCAACUCUCAGGUCUCUUGGUUGGACAUUGGUACCUGCUAUUAUGGUUGGGUAUGGAGUACUCAUUUUAUCUAACGGAGAUGUCUUGGUAAAAUCUGUUUGUGUGAAUCUUACCAUCCCAUCAUUUUUUCUAAUUUCGUAUCAUGUUUUUCUUACUUGUUUUUUAGUACUCUUACCUCAUUUUCUUUUCUUUAUAAUUGUUCUUAAACGUAUAUAAAAUGUGCAAGGAUAAUUCUUUUUUUCCACAGGUUCUGACUCAGCUGAAGAUGAUUGCUAGUGAAUCAUCAACACUUGUAUUUUUGCCCCCACACUGGUCUGUUUAUUCUGUUCUUUCUGAAUUUCCAUUGUGUGUGAAGUUGCAUGAUGUGAUUGUACUUCAUCUGUAGGUUGGUUGGUCACUUGGUUGUCAAACGAUGUGGUCUGAUUAUCGAGAUCACUAUGUGCCCGGUUGUUGUGUGGUUUUUAUGAUGGUUAGCAUUAUUUGUUUUUUGUCUUCCCAUCAUCUUCAGAAUAUCAUCUCGAAUCUUCUCUUGCUAACAGGUCUAUCAAAGCGUUUGGGUAUUGGACCUUUUUCUUUCCUGUGUUCUUAUCUUUGGUUGUUCUGUGAACCCUGUCGACGUUCGGGAAUGGAAUUUGAAGUUUCAUUUCAGUUUUGCGUGAUGGCUAGUGGUAUCUUCAUCUUUUAUGACCAAUGCUCUUUUAUUUAUUUCUAUCAUGGCUAAAUAUGAAGCAAUGACCGAGAACUGAUUUCUUCCUUUUUGGGGUGAUAUACGGAUAGUGUGGACGUAUUUAUUCUUGUUAUCCCUUCGUUUUCCAGCAUUUGUUUGAAAGGAUUGAGAAAUCAUAGAGGGAAUUACUGAUUUACUGUUUAGUUUGGAUUAAUUACUCGUUAAUUUGGAGGUAUCUGUCUGCUUUCAUGGUUUUUUGGCUAUGUAUACAGUAAACUCGGUUCUUCGGUCUGGCUAUGUUCCAUGUGUUGCACAUUGUAGGUCAUCUUCCCCAAUGACACGUGAGUAACCUGAUAAUAUAGUUGGCCGUGGAGUACCUGUGGCAGUGGAUGUCCUGGUUCAUCUCUUUCGGUGACUUACCUUUCUCUUGUUUAUAUCUCAUUCACAUCACUCUAGUGGGCAUUUCUCACCAUCGUUUAUAUCUGCUUUGCUUUCUUUUUACUGGCCUUUUUCUGUGUCUGAGAGAUGCCACCACAGGUUCAGACAAAAUUGAAAACGAUUGGAUUGUUGUGCCUGCGGAUUGUCAGCAAUCUGUGUUUCUUUCUUUAGCAUUAUUUUGUCCAUUUUCUGAUUUCUCUAUUUUUUGUGUAAAAGCUUGUGCGGCUAGAUUGCGUUUUGUAUGUUGGUUUUGUUGACACCCAAUGCCGUGGUUCAACUGUCAAGAUCACCCACCUUCCGGUUUUCUGUAACUUAUACGAUUGUCUUUUGUUAUAGUAUUAUUGGUUUUCUCUUGUAGUUAGUUGCCUUGGCUCACCCUUGCUAUAUGGUACGCAUUCUGUAGGUCUUCUUGUGUUGGCUAUGGAGUACUUGUGUUAGCUACUGAAGAUGUCUUGGUCAAUCUGUUUCUGCAACAUCUAUGUUCUUGUUUUGUUCU